rnacentral:rRNA from 1 species
GAAAAGAAACCAACAGGGAUUGCCUCAGUAACGGCGAGUGAAGCGGCAAAAGCUCAAAUUUGAAAUCUAGCACUUUCAGUGUUCGAGUUGUAAUUUGAAGAAGGUAACUUUGGUUUUGGCUCUUGUCUAUGUUCCUUGGAACAGGACGUCACAGAGGGUGAGAAUCCCGUGCGAUGAGAUGCCCAAUUCCAUGUAAAGUGCUUUCGAAGAGUCGAGUUGUUUGGGAAUGCAGCUCUAAGUGGGUGGUAAAUUCCAUCUAAAGCUAAAUAUUGGCGAGAGACCGAUAGCGAACAAGUACAGUGAUGGAAAGAUGAAAAGAACUUUGAAAAGAGAGUGAAAAAGUACGUGAAAUUGUUGAAAGGGAAGGGCUUGAGAUCAGACUUGGUAUUUUGCGUUCCCUUCCUUUUUGGUUGGGUUCCUCGCAGUUUACUGGGCCAGCAUCGGUUUGGAUGGUAGGAUAAUGACAUUGGAAUGUAGCUUUACUUCGGUGAAAGUGUUAUAGACUUUGUUGAUACUGCCUAUCUAGACCGAGGACUGCGUCUUUGACUAGGAUGCUGGCGUAAUGAUCUUAAGCCGCCC